rnacentral:rRNA from 1 species
UACAGAGGGUGCGAGCGUUAAUCGGAAUUACUGGGCGUAAAGCGUGCGUAGACGGUAGCGUAAGUCAGAUGUGAAAGCCCCGGGCUCAACCUGGGAAUUGCAUUUGAGACUGCUCUGCUCGGGUGCGGAAGAGGGAAGCGGAAUUUCCGGUGUAGCGGUGAAAUGCGUAGAUAUCGGAAGGAACACCAGUGGCGAAGGCGGGUCUCUGGGCCGAUACUGACGCUGAGGAGCGAAAGCGUGGGGAGCGAACAGG